rnacentral:rRNA from 1 species
AGAGAUGGAUUGGUGCCUUCGGGAACGUCUGACACAGGUGCUGCAUGGCUGUCGUCAGCUCGUGUCGUGAGAUGUUGGGUUAAGUCCCGUAACGAGCGCAACCUUGUCCUUAGUUACCAGCACGUUAUGGUGGGCACUCUAAGGAGACUGCCGGUGACAAACCGGAGGAAGGUGGGGAUGACGUCAGGUCAUCAUGGCCCUUACGGCCUGGGCUACACACGUGCUACAAUGGUCGGUACAAAGGGUUGCCAAGCCGCGAGGUGGAGCUAAUCCCAUAAAACCGAUCGUAGUCCGGAUCGCAGUCUGCAACUCGACUGCGUGAAGUCGGAAUCGCUAGUAAUCGUGAAUCAGAAUGUCACGGUGAAUACGUUCCCGGGCCUU